rnacentral:rRNA from 1 species
AGAGUUUGAUCCUGGCUCAGAACGAACGCUGGCGGCGCGCUUAAGCAUGCAAGUCGAACGGCAAGAGGUAGCAAUACCUCCUAGAGUGGCGGACUGGUGAGUAACACGUGGGUGACAUACCCUUCAGAUGGGGAUAGCUAUUAGAAAUAGUAGAUAAUACCGAAUACGAGCACAGGGGUUAGAGAUCUGUGAGGAAAGGAGCUAAGGCUCCGCUGAAGGAAUGGCCUGCGGCCCAUUAGCUAGUUGGUGAGGUAAGAGCCCACCAAGGCGAUGAUGGGUAUCCGGCCCUAGAGGGUGAACGGACACAUUGGGACUGAGAUACGGCCCAGACUCCUACGGGAGGCAGCAGCUAAGAAUAUUCCGCAAUGGACGAAAGUCUGACGGAGCGACGCCGCCGUGGAUGAAGAAGGCCGGAAGGUUAGUAAAAUUCCUUUUGAAACUGAAGAAUAAGCGUUGUAGGGAAUGACAGCGUGGUGACAGUUAGGUUUUGAAUAAGCAACGGCUAAUUACGUGCCAGCCGCCGC